GGUCAAUUACUCUAGGUAGCAGUGGGAAAAGGCAGAGUUAUCUGUCAACCAUCUCAACAAGACUAGUAUUGCAGAGAUUGAAUCUACUGUAAAGGCAAAAAUUUGUGCGAGCCAUGGUGUAUAUGAAGAAUUUGUCUCUAGAUCCUCAUCCAUUAAUGCAGAAUACGAAGCUAAAGCCCGUGACACACAGGCAGCUGUUAAGGAAACCAAGGAAGAGAUAGACUCCAUGUCUAUCUUGUGCUUGAAUCAGCUUAAGUGUGUUAGUUAGAAUCAUACUGAAAGCAUAACAAAUAUCAGAAACCAAGCGGAGCAGUUUCUGACGAAAGAUUAUUUGGUUGAUCAGCAUACUAGUACAACUCCGAAGUUGAAGAUAAUAGCAGUGCUUAGCUUGGCAUCCAUCGAGGAGAUGAGAACGCCUGCAGUUGGAGAUCUUAUGGCGAAUUUUACCGGACCAAAUUUGGGCUGUACUGAAAGCAAGAUUCAACAACAUCAACAAGGGCUGUGUCUCGGAGCAUCACCUAAUAAUAGAACUCUGUUUGCAUAUGUUAAUCUCUUAAUGAGCUCCUUGAUAAGAAUAUUUAGACAAAUGGAAAACUUGAGUAGCUUCAUCUAUUGUAUAUUGUUGGAUGAGUCUUAAAGUCAACUGGUGCAAACCCACACAUUCAUCAACUGAUGAGUUAUAAAGUUGGCCAAUUCUGAAAGCUG